rnacentral:rRNA from 1 species
GACGAACGCUGGCGGCGUGCUUAACACAUGCAAGUCGAACGGAAAGGCCCUGCUUGCAGGGUACACGAGUGGCGAACGGGUGAGUAACACGUGGGUGAUCUGCCCUGCACUUCGGGAUAAGCUUGGGAAACUGGGUCUAAUACCGGAUAGGAACCAUCUUUAGUGUGGUGGUUGGAAAGUUUUUUCGGUGUAGGAUGAGGUCGCGGCCUAUCAGCUUGUUGGUGGGGUAAUGGCCUACCAAGGGGGCGACGGGUAGCCGGCCUGAGAGGGUGUACGGCCACAUUGGGACUGAGAUACGGCCCAGACUCCUACGGGAGGCAGCAGUGGGGAAUAUUGCACAAUGGGCGCAAGCCUGAUGCAGCGACGCCGCGUGGGGGAUGAAGGCCUUCGGGUUGUAAACUCCUUUCGCUAGGGACGAAGCUUUGUUGUGACGGUACCUAGAUAAGAAGCACCGGCUAACUACGUGCCAGCCGCCGCAGUAA